GAGGAACGCCCGAGUACAUAUAGAACACAGGGUGCCAUGAUGUGGAGCCCGAAGACAAGGGAGGCUGCUGAACACUCUAAUGCCUGUAUGAGUGAAUUUCGACAUGAACAGUGUAGCUGGAUCUGUUUGCCUUCAGUUCAAGCUGCAAUGUUGUCACCAUCUCCUCUUAAAGCCCAUGUAUCCUUGACAAGGUUGUUCUGCCCUUCAAGCUCAUAUGAUGGUUGGGCAUGUAGGAGACCUAGCCUUCUGUCACCAAGGAAACAGAAAGCAGAGGAGGAAUGCGACUGUGGGAGGCUGCAGGCAAAAGUGAUGCGGGGCCAAAAAUGUACCUGGAAGCUACAUGGUACAAUCCCUGAGGCCCUGUUCAGUCCUUCAUUCUAUUCUGGUGUCUUCCUAGUGACAGCCCUGCUAGCGAAUGACAACUUCUCCCUGACUCUUCCCCAGCCUUGCUUCCCAGUCCUGAGACUUGAAGAGCACAGAGGAGGGCCUCUGUAGGUCAGUCACUGGCUCUGGACCAUUGACCACUACCACUGCUUUUACUUGGGAUGGUGUUCAAAUUGUGGGAUGUCUGAGAAAGCUGGGUUCCACGUUUUGCUAUGCAACCUGUUCCUCACAUCCUGGACUUUGCCGGCUCCAGUCCUCAGUUGCCAUUCAGUAAGCAUUGUGACGUGUAAGGCUCUCAGGAGAAGCCAGAUCCCAGUGGCAUUAGUGUGACAAACAAGCUGUGCCCAAGUUGCUGACACUCUGGCAGAGUCCAGGACAUCCAGGAAGACAGAGGUGGUGAGAUAUCACCAACUAUGACUCUGACAUCCAAUGAAGCAGUCGAGGGCCAUGAUGCUUUUCUGACUGAAGCAACACAGCCUGGAGCCCAAAUCCCGAGGCUGUGCACCAAAGUCUUUCCCUGUUUGUCACUGGUACUGCUGCUAUUGAUUUAAAAAUCUAGUUCAAUAUGGGAAAAAUACACUUUACAAUCUCCUGGAACAUUCUGUCUCAGAGAGGACCGUGUCUACACUUCAAAGGAAAGACCAGAUCCUGGUGCUUUCCCACAAGAAGUUGCUCAAUGUGGCUACCAGGCAGAACAAACAUAAGCCGGUGUCUGCAGACAGGAGGGCACCAACAAUGUGUCAAGCAACCUCAUUUGCAUCGUCACAAGCAUCUGCAGUAUGGAUAUAUGAUCAACAUGGUCGUUUGACAGUUGUGGAGCCCCUCCCACCAAUAAAGCUUUUGUAGGUGAAGAACCCGAAGGAUCUGAGGCUGUGCCAGUACAUGCUGGAGAAAUACUUGACUGGACUCGGGAGUAGGAGCCUAGGCAUUGGCCCACAGAUGUACUGUUCUCCUUUGGAUACCCGUCGCAACAACACAAUCUUCUCUGUCUACUGGAGUUGUCUUGGUUGUAGAUUUGGAGAUCCUCAAUCUCUCAGCUUAGUUCUCUAAUGUUAAGUCAUGUCGACUCUUAGCAUAGUACUUUAUUUGCCACUGUUCUUUCUACCUUUAUUUUUCCAGAAUUUUCUAUGGGUAAGUUAUUCCAUCUAUAACACUUUAUGAUGUGUAAGCCCACACGAGGGUACCCAAAGCCCAUACACAAUGUACUCUUAUUUACCUGAGAAGUCCAAGCCAGUAACCCCAAUCUUAACUCAGUGGUGAGAAGGAACUUAAAACUUAGAACAGGACUUGUUUUCAUUCCUUUCUUGUUAGUAUCAUUCACAACUUCUGUAGAAGUUGGGAGUCCAGAAAGCAAAGGGCGGGAUUUUCUCACAUGAUCUUGACCCAUGUUGGGUUUUCUGUCUUCCAUCUCCACCUUUAACAUUUAAUAUACCACAUCUCUCCAAAGGUCAUGCCUAUUCUAGUGUGCUGCACUCAGUGACGAAGUUGGAGCAAGUGUCAAAAGAGUGAAGGCCAAGCUCUGACUGUGACAGAGAGUUUGAGAUGGACAAAUGAUGCUUUGAAAAACACGUGACUUCUCGCUGGGACCUCCAUCUCCUGUAAAUAACCAACAACCUGUUCAAGGAUCAAUGUGCCUCUGACAUGAGGACAACAAGUCUCCCCUUGCAAUCAGAAUUGACCAUCACUAUGGACCUCAUCUAUUAGAUGCAGGAUGUCUAGCAAGCCUCUGGACAGGCAGCAUGGCAGAAAUCAACUCUUUCAAAAAAAAAAAAAAACAAAAAAAAAGGCUGCUGAUGACACAGUGGAUAGAGCACACACAAGCUCCCUGUCGGACUCCCUCAGCUCCUGCAUGUCUCCUUGGCUAACAUUUCAGAGCUUCUGAUCCUUCAGACAUCAGCUUCUUGAUACUGAAGAGAUUGUUCUACCUGAUGAGCCCAGGCCUAGAAGAUGG
ensembl:lncRNA